rnacentral:rRNA from 1 species
GGCGGCAUGCCUAACACAUGCAAGUCGAACGAACUCUUCGGAGUUAGUGGCGCACGGGUGCGUAACGCGUGGGAAUCUGCCCCUUGGUUCGGAAUAACAGUUAGAAAUGACUGCUAAUACCGGAUGAUGUCUUCGGACCAAAGAUUUAUCGCCAAGGGAUGAGCCCGCGUAGGAUUAGGUAGUUGGUGGGGUAAAGGCCUACCAAGCCGACGAUCCUUAGCUGGUCUGAGAGGAUGAUCAGCCACACUGGGACUGAGACACGGCCCAGACUCCUACGGGAGGCAGCAGUGGGGAAUAUUGGACAAUGGGCGAAAGCCUGAUCCAGCAAUGCCGCGUGAGUGAUGAAGGCCUUAGGGUCGUAAAGCUCUUUUACCAGGGAUGAUAAUGACAGUACCUGGAGAAUAAGCUCCGGCUAACUCCGUGCCAGCAGCCGCGGUAAUACGGAGGGAGCUAGCGUUGUUCGGAAUUACUGGGCGUAAAGCGCACGUAGGCGGUUAUUCAAGUCAGAGGUGAAAGCCCGGGGCUCAACCCCGGAACUGCCUUUGAAACUAGAU